rfam:Aedes aegypti strain Liverpool supercont1.127 genomic scaffold, whole genome shotgun sequence.
UGUCUAGUAACUCCUAUCCCUACCUCCCCGUGGUGCCGCCUAGGAUACGAGUAGCCGUAGGGAAAAUCGAGUAACAAACCCCGGUGGGACCUUGGUCCUAUGCUGACAGGGAAGA